GGGUAUGGGGAGCGGGCCGCGAGCGCCUCCGGCCCGGCCUCCGCCUCCGCGCCCUCGCCGGCGCCCUCGCCUCCCCCGGAGCGGAGGGCGGCCGCGCCGCAGGCCGUGGGGGCGCCUGCGGCCUGGGGGCUCGCGCUGCACGCGGAGGCGGCGGGCCUCGGAGCCGCGAGGGAGGCCCCGGCGCGCCCUGAGGGCCCGCGCGUCGCCCGCCUGCUCCGCAGAGGCCUCCGCCCCGCCGGCUCGCGCGCGUCCGCGGUUCUGAGGCGCGGGGUGGGUCGCGCCCGGGCCGCCGCCGAGCCGCGGGGUGGCCGCCGCCUUCUCGGAGCGAGCCCCGCGGCCCCUCCGCGCGCCGCAGCGGGCCGGGGCGGCGGGGCCCGGGGGUCUGCCGUGCCCCCCGCCUCGCCGAGGCCUCUCGAGGGACCGGGAACAGCCUCUCGCGUGGAAGCUGUUUCGUCUUGUGCUGCGCGGGGCCUAGGGAGCAAGAAAUUUAACCAAGUUUUAUUUCGUCUUUUUCGGAGGAGGAGCUGCCGUUCCCGGCUUCUCCCCUGACGGCCGGAGCCCCGUCCCUCGUGCGCCCGCGCUGUCGCCCGUCCCGCGGGCUUUAACCGAGCGCUUGCGCGGGCCGUCCGUGCGGUGACCCGGCCUGCGUUCCGCGGCUGCGGGAGGAACGAAACGGUAAGCGCCUGGGGUCCGGGCGGGGGUGCGCGCCGCGGGGCCGAAGGGGAGAGUCGGGGGCCGAGCUGCAGGCCUGGGUGGGAAAGGGGAGUCCGGCCGCGGACGGAGGCAGCCGGUGGCGUGGAGCCGAGCUGGGGGCGGAGGAGCUGGCGGGGCGGCCCGCUGGAUCCCCGGCCCCGCCGCCGCGCCGGCUUCGCUCUGGGCGGCCGGGAAGCCGUGGCACGGCUCGGCAGGCGACGGUGGGGAGGCGGAGCGGACGCGAGUCUGCGGAGACGGAUGGGGCUCGAGGCCCGGGCGGCGGUCGGUGGCGGGGGCAGGAUCGGACCCUGAAAGGACUGCCCGUUUGAAACGGGAGGCGGUGGAGAUCCGCACACGCGGGAGCUUCCCCCAGCUUCGUCUUUCCGGCUGAAGGCGAAAGCGGACAUCCGCGCUCCCGCGGCUCCGCUCCCUGGAGAAGAUAUUUCAGCAUCUCCAAAGGAGAAGGGUCUUUUGCAACACAUGACCGCAAUACCACUAACACAGCUAAGAAGUAACAAUUUCCUAAUAUCAAAGAUUCGUCCUUGUGUGUCCAGUAUGGUGGCUGGUAGUCACAUCUCGAGUACUUGAAUGUGACUGGUCUGGAUUGAGAUGUGCGGUGAGUGUAAAAGACACACCAGCUUUCCUGCUAAGAAGACUUAGUAGGAAAAGAACAUGGUUUGUAAUUUUGACACUAUUGAUUACAUGUUGAAACAGUAUUUUUAUAUUGUUAGAUUAAAUGCACUAUGAAAAUUAA